rnacentral:rRNA from 1 species
UACGUAGGGUGCGAGCGUUAAUCGGAAUUACUGGGCGUAAAGCGUGCGCAGGCGGCUAGCCGUGUCCGAUGUGAAAGCCCCGGGCUCAACCUGGGAAUGGCAUUGGAAACUGGCUGGCUGGAGUGUGGCAGAGGGGGGUGGAAUUCCACGUGUAGCAGUGAAAUGCGUAGAGAUGUGGAGGAACACCGAUGGCGAAGGCAGCCCCCUGGGCCAACACUGACGCUCAGGCACGAAAGCGUGGGGAGCAAACAGG